AAAAUAUGUUUUGGAAUUAAUUUCAGUAAUAUUUAUAUAGAUUCAUGUAUUAUAUCAUAUAUCAUGUAUUAUAAUUAAUGUUAUUUCUUUUUAUGGAUACUAUGGAUAUACAUUUUAUUACAUUUUAUAUUAUUACAUUUUUGGCCACUGUCCUUUUAAUGGGAAUUUUGAUUAUUUCCAUGAUAUAAGACAAUGGUUUUUAUGCACAUGUAUGGCAGUCUUUUUUAAAAUUUUUUUAAUUUUUUAUUUUUUAUAAACAUACAUUUUUAUCCCCACAGGUCUGUGAAUCACCAGGUUUACACACUUCACAGCACUCACCAAAGCACAUACCCUCCCCAAUGUCCAUAAUCCCACCUCCUUCUCCCAACCCCCCUCCCCCCAGCAACCCUCAGUUUGUUUUGUGAGAUUAAGAGUCACUUAUGGUUUGUCUCCCUCCCAAUUCCAUCUUGUUUCAUUGAUUCUUCUUCUACCCACUUAAGCAUGGGGGCUUAUAUGGCAGUCUUUUGAAGGUAUAUAUCAAGAAAUGAAAAUGCUGGCUUAUGGAGUAUGAAGAUUCUAAUUUUUACUAAGAAUCAUUACAGAAUUUACCAAGUACUAAGCAAAUACUAAGAAAUUACUAAGUAUCACUAAAGAUCGUUGGAGAAUUGACCUCCAGUGAGCUUGUACCAAUUUACCUUCCCAACAGUAAUUGGUAAGUGCUCCCAUUUCCACAUAGUCCUUCUAACAUUGGUGUGGGUAGUAGAGGGGGGAAUUAACUAGGGACUCCAAAAUACUGAUAUAUAAGAAGUCAACAUCUAGAAGUCUGAACUACAUUUUAACUAAGUAAUGUGAACACUUUUGUUGCAUGUAUUUGUAUUUUCAGCUAUUCCCAUCAUACCAUACCAUGUAAGAAUAAUUAAUAACAAAUUUUACGAAUAACUGGCUAGAACAAUAACAUUAUUAAUGUAAACUUGGGGAAUGUUCUUUUCUAGGUAUGUGUACCUCCUACUUCUGUAGCCAUUUAUCCAUACUUUGUGAAUUUUCUAUCAAAGUGCAUUUCAUUACAAACUUAUUCAAAUCUGUCCUUUUGAGGCAAUGCUUUAUUCAUUCAUCCAAUAAACAUGUAUUAACUUCUUACUAUGUGCAUAGCAUUAUAGAGUAUACUCAGCUGUAAUGAUAUGGCCUUCACUGGGGGAUUGUGUAUGCCAGUGGAGUAUCACAAUAUAGGAUUGCAAUAUUCUUUUUAUUUUUUAAAACUAAGAGUAAGUUACAACCUCUUGAAAAUAAAAUGGUGUAACUUAUCCUCUCUGAAAAGUGAAACUAACUGGAAUCAAUAAUGCAUCAUUCAAAAGAGCAAUUCCUUGUUUCAUACACAUCUAAUUUUCCUUUCCUCUGUUCCUUUAAAAAGGGAAAAUAAUACCAGUAAGAUAUUUUUUCUUAAAUAAUGAAAGGAUAGUAAACUGGAUCAUGCCUCUUAGCUGUUAAUAAAAGGUGGAUUUCUGGGUGCCUGAGUGGCUCAGUGGGUUAAGCUGCUGCCUUCGGCUCAGGUCAUGAUCUCGGGGUCCUGGGAUCGAGCCCCGCAUUGGGCUCUCAGCUCGGCAGGGAGCCUGCUUCCCUCUCUCUCUCUCUCCCUCUGCCUGCCUCUCUGCCUACUUGUGAUCUAUCUCUGUCAAAUAAAUAAAUACAUCUUUAAAAAUAAAUAAAUAAAAGGUGCAUUUCUUACCCCUGCUCAUUCUGCAUAUUUAAAAAGAUAUUGAUCCAGAGGAUUAGAAGAAAAGGAAAAGGAUCCUGGAUACAGAGAAGAAUCUGUGAAAGUAAGAUAAAGCUGGUUCUGGAGCAGAUCUAGAGGGGUCCGCGUUCACCAAGAUGACAUGGAAAAGACUCCUCAUUUAGAGUCCUGUGCACAGACUCCUUGGGACAGAUGGCCCCCCAUAAUCAGUAGAUGGUAAAGCCCAAGGCAGAAGCAAAAGUUUAAUUUGUGUAUAGAAGUUCUUCCUAAAUUUUCAGCCUUAUUUAUUUUCUUCAGUUGGAACUAAGUUAAGCAGAAUGGAGUUCUUUGAAGUAUCCUGCGUUUUUUGUGCUUUGUCUUCAGGCAUUUGCCUGAUCUCUUAUACAUAAUGCAAACUUUUAAUAGUCCAUAAUGGUUUUUUCCUUUAAAGAGUCUUAAAGUAGGGGGAAUUCUGACAGCUUCUUUCAUUCCAGGGUAUAUUACUAGGAAAAGAGAUUAAAUUACAAGCAGAAAACUUGUACAAAUAUAUGGCAUAUCAACAACUACUUAUUUAGAUGUCCUUCAAGAGGUAUGUUUAUGCGUGUAUCUGAGAGAGAGAGAGGAAGUUGAAGAGACAGAGCCAGAGAGAGACAGAAAGAGGGAGAGAGGGAGAGAGAGCGAGGGAAAUUGAAGCUACAAAGUAGAUGGAGGAGAAUUAAAAUGUUAAAAAUCUUCAGAGACCUCAGUGUUCCCCACCAACAGCUACUUCGUCGUUUUGAAAAUCUCUUGACUUCUACCAUUAUUUUACAUAUACUUACCUUGUACCUUGCUCCUUGUGGUCACUUUGUCCUCCCAACAUCUGCCUGCAUGUCAGCCAUCACCAAAAUCCUGCACCAAAGCCUUCGGUCGCUGCAGCUGACAGCCCAGCAGUGCUCUGCAUACAGCUGCCUCCCCUGACAGCAGCCAUAACAUGCACCGCAAGUGCGGCUGCAGUUCAGCGUCAGCUAGAGCACAGACGCUGGGUUCUGCAGCACAUCUUCUCCUUUGCAUUCCCAGCUGUGAAAAUAAGCUCCAGCAAGCCUGGAUCCCCCCCCAAGAGCACUGUUCCCAAGAAACUGUGAUAAUGAUUACAACAAAUAUCCAUGAACCAUAUAGGCAAAGUCCAUUAAUUUAUGCUCCAUAGUGCGUGCUUAGUGUUUCCUCUGCUGCUCUGCAUAGACUAAAUCAUCCAGAGAAUGUUCCUGCAUUUAAAUGCAUGCUUUGCGAAGUGGUGGCUGAAAGUGGGGUGCGUUCCAUUGGACAUGGAGAAUUUUGCUUGGCUGAAUGGGGGUGGAGAAGGAAGGCCUGUUUUUGUUAACUCGCAUCCUUUCUUUUUGUUGGUGGUGCCUCAUGCAGGGCCUGACCUGUUGUGGGCAUUUGUGGAAUGUUAACUGCAGGAAUGAUGGAAUCCAAGUCACCAAGAGCCUUGUCUCUUGUUUGGACCAUCUUCUUUCUGUUAUUUUGCCUACAGACAAAUGUAGGAACUGUGAAGAGUGGAUGAGAAUUAUGAUCAUGCUCCUGACUUCAAGUUGUGAUUUGAAUAAGAUUUAUACAAUGUCACAAUGAUCAAGAAAAAGGAGCUACUCUGAAUUCACAUUUCAUGGCAUCACGAGGGUCACAGAUGGAAUCCAGAAAGUGGAGCUGUCUCAUCAAUAUGCUAAUUUGGUUCCAGUCUUCUAUGAUUGCUGUUCAGCUGCAGGCAAUUUCGAGGCAUAACAUACUGGAAUCUAGGAGAAGAGAGGAAUGUGAGAAGGACUUCAAGUGCCCUCCAGACUUCAGAGAUGUGGUGCCCAAUAUGGUGGUCACUAGCUGCAUAGGUCAUUAAAUACUCAAACUGAGGGUGAAGAUUACAAAAAUGCCUUUCAAGAUACUGGAGCCGCAAGGCAGAAGAAGACUUUGUUGCCAAGGAGAAAAUCUGUCCCCAGACCAAGGAGCUCCUAAAACACUUCCUCUUGUGUGUGACCCUGAAACAAACACCAUCUCUCAUCCUGAACAAUUCUUUGGUAAUGUGGAUCCAGGAAGAAUAGCUAGAAAAUUAUCCUGCCCUUUCUUUGGGAAACUGGUGAUGACCUGAAAUAAGACAGAUCAUGAACCAUGUGUUUGUGAUCUGACCCAGAAACCAAACUGGAAGCUUAAGGAAAGGAACCAUGGGGUAAGAAACAAGCCCGAUGAUGGUUUGGGCAGAAAGACUUCCGUGGCUCAUCAAGAUUCAUCUUUCAACAGAGAUGUGGCCUUGUAAUGAAGUAUUACCAGUGGAAGAUACAGAAGAAAUGGUAUACCAUUUCUAGGGUAAGAAAGUUAAGAACAGACAAGUCUUAUCUAUGCACUUUCUCUUUUCCUUCCUGCGGACUCUGGAAACUUUGUUGAAGAUGGAAGCAUCUCAAGAUGAAAGGGAUCUGUGUCCUGACAGACCCUGUGGUCCAACUAUAUUGGACUGUGGUAUGAUCAAACAUUGUCAAGCUGCUAAAAUCUUCCAAUUGUUCGUUAUAGAAGUUAAUCUCCUUUGACUUUGAAGAUUUGAUUUUAAAAAAUCUCACUGGUCUCCUUUGCAGAAUACUAGAGAAAAAUUCAUUAUUCUGUCACCUGGUAAGUAAAGAGAAAGGACACACAUAUACUUUACUUUCUUGUACCUGUAGGGGUUUGGUUAGCCAGAGGGAGCCGUUUGGUUGUAAAUUUAAGAUUGACCCCGCCACUCCCAGACGAACUUGCUUGCAAACCCCGGAUAUAAGAGCAGGCCAAGCUGGAUGGAGACAUCCAAUCAGUGAGGCGCACACAUAUUUGCUAUGGUGAAUUAGAAUUCAAUUGGCCACCAUAUUGCUGACGACGGUGACUGGGAAGUUUUCCCUGUGUGUUACAAUCUCAUUGGCCACCUGUGUGUGGGCUGGGAUCAACCACCUCUAUAAAGGUUAGUCUGUGAGGCAGGGGAGGAGUAGUAAUAGCCUGGGGUCGUCGGGACCAGCAUUGUUGGAGAGUGUCAUGGGGAGCCUGGGGAUCUUUGGAAGCGGUCUCGCUGGGAAGCAUUGCAGCCAGGAGCAUCGUGGUUGGGUAGGGGAAUCGUUGUUGGGUAAGGGAAUCGUUGUCGGGUAAGGGAAGUUGUCAGGGUCAGUGUCCUGGUCGUUGUUCCCUCUUUGUAAGAGACAGCCCCUACUGGUUGGUUUGAUUUUCGAUGCU